GAAAUGCGAUAAGUAAUGUGAAUUGCAGAAUUCAGUGAAUCAUCGAAUCUUAGAACGCACAUUGCGCCCGCCAGCACUCUGGCGGGCAUGCCUGUUCGAGCGUCAUUUCAACCCUCAGAACCCCUUGCGGGAUCUGGCGUUGGGGAUUGGCAUCCAGCCAGCCCCGAAAUCUAGUGGCGGUCCCUCCGCGACCUCCCCUGUGCAGUAGCGAUACCUCGCAGCGGGACAGCGGUCUGACCACGCCGUAAAACCCCCAACUUCUCAAGGUUGACCUCGAAUCAGGUAGGAAUACCCGCUGAACUUAAGC
rnacentral:misc_RNA from 1 species